ACGCUCGACACCUACGGGAGGCAGCAGUAGGGAAUCUUCCACAAUGGGCGCAAGCCUGAUGGAGCAACACCGCGUGAGUGAAGAAGGGUUUCGGCUCGUAAAGCUCUGUUGUUGGAGAAGAACGUGCGUGAGAGUAACUGUUCACGCAGUGACGGUAUCCAACCAGAAAGUCACGGCUAACUACGUGCCAGCAGCAGCGGUAAUCUGAGCGGCUGGCAAGGC
rnacentral:rRNA from 1 species